UGAACGCUGGCGGCGUGCCUACUACAUGCACGUCGAGCGAACAGACGCGGAGCUUGCUCCUCUGACGUUAGCGGCGGACGGGUGAGUAACACGUGGAUAACCUACCUAUAAGACUGGGAUAACUUCGGGAAACCGGAGCUAAUACCGGAUAAUAUAUUGAACCGCAUGGUUCAAUAGUGAAAGACGGUUUUGCUGUCACUUAUAGAUGGAUCCGCGCCGCAUUAGCUAGUUGGUAAGGUAACGGCUUACCAAGGCAACGAUGCGUAGCCGACCUGAGAGGGUGAUCGGCCACACUGGAACUGAGACACGGUCCAGACUCCUACGGGAGGCAGCAGUAGGGAAUCUUCCGCAAUGGGCGAAAGCCUGACGGAGCAACGCCGCGUGAGUGAUGAAGGUCUUCGGAUCGUAAAACUCUGUUAUUAGGGAAGAACAAAUGUGUAAGUAACUAUGCACGUCUUGACGGUACCUAAUCAGAAAGCCACGGCUAACUACGU
rnacentral:rRNA from 1 species